rnacentral:rRNA from 1 species
CGGACUUUUCAUGAAGCCUAGCGAUUGAAAAGUUAGUGGCGGACGGGUGAGUAACGCGUGGGUAACCUGCCUUGUACUGGGGGACAACAGUUGGAAACGACUGCUAAUACCGCAUAAGCGCACAGCUUCGCAUGAAGCAGUGUGAAAAACUCCGGUUGUACAAGAUGGACCCGCGUCUGAUUAGCUGGUUGGUGAGGUAACGGCCCACCAAGGCGACGAUCAGUAGCCGGCCUGAGAGGGUGAACGGCCACAUUGGGACUGAGACACGGCCCAAACUCCUACGGGAGGCAGCAGUGGGGAAUAUUGCACAAUGGGGGAAACCCUGAUGCAGCAACGCCGCGUGAGUGAAGAAGUAUUUCGGUAUGUAAAGCUCUAUCAGCAGGAAAGAAAAUGACGGUACCUGACUAAGAAGCCCCGGCUAACUACGUGCCAGCAGCCGCGGUAAUACGUAGGGGGCAAGCGUUAUCCGGAUUUACUGGGUGUAAAGGGAGCGUAGACGGUUUUGCAAGUCUGAAGUGAAAGCCCGGGGCUUAACCCCGGGACUGCUUUGGAAACUGUAGGACUAGAGUGCAGGAGAGGUAAGUGGAAUUCCUAGUGUAGCGGUGAAAUGCGUAGAUAUUAGGAGGAACACCAGUGGCGAAGGCGGCUUACUGGACUGUA